rnacentral:sRNA from 1 species
UGCAUCUAGGGCCUGUGAGGAUGAGAACCUCCGGGGGCAGGAGGUUCGACUCGAGCGAAGCGAGAGAACGUUGCGUCAGCAACGGCCCGCAGGGCGAGCCACGAAGUGGUGAGUCAUCCUCUAUCACCGACCA